rnacentral:rRNA from 2 species
UAAAGCUACAAAGAGCUAAUGGCGGAUGCCUUGGCACUGACAGCCGAUGAAGGACGUGUAAAGCUGCGAUAAGCUACGGGGAGAUGCUAAAAAUCCUUGAUCCGUAGAAUUCCGAAUGAGGAAACUCUCUAAGGUUUAUACCUUAGAAUCUAUAGAUGAAUUCAUAGUCUAUAGAGGGAAAGCCUGUGAACUGAAACAUCUUAGUAACAGGACGAAAAGAAAAUAAACUAAUGAUUCCGAAAGUAGCGGCGAGCGAAAUUGGAAGAGCCUAAACCUUGUGUAUGUGAUAGACUGCAAUCGUUGUGCACAGGGUGUUGUGGGAGCCAAUCGAGUAUUUUGCAGAGUACUCAAAGAGUUACAAAACUAAUUGUUAGAUGAAUACAACUGGAAAGUUGAGCCAUAGAGGGUGAUAGCCCCUUAAUCGAAAGCAAUUGGACUCUUUUUGGAUUUCCCGAGUACGGCGGGGCACGUGAAACCCUGUCUGAAUCUACCGGGACCAUCCGGUAAGGCUAAAUACUAGUCAGUGACCGAUAGUGAACGAGUACGGUGACGGAAAGGCGAAAAGAACAGUGAGAAGCUGAGUGAAAUAGAACCUGAAACCGUUAGCUUACAAUCAGUCAGAGCCCUAUCAAUAGGGUGAUGGCGUGCCUUUUGUAGAAUGAGCCGGCGAGUUAUCUUAUAUUGCGAGGUUAAGGAGUUGAUAUCCGGAGCCACAGGGAAACCGAGUCUGAAUAGGGCGAUUGAGUAAUAUGAGAUAGACCCGAACCUUGGCGAUCUAACCAUGGCCAGAUUGAAGCGUAGGUAACACUACGUGGAGGAUCGAACCGACUGAUGUUGAAAAAUCAGCGGAUGAGUUGUGGUUAGGGGUGAAAUGCCAAUCGAGCCAAGAGCUAGCUGGUUCUCCCCGAAAUGCGUUUAGGCACAGCGUCAGAUUUAUCUUAUGGGAGGUAGAGCACUAGUUUGGUGCGGGCCGAGAAACUCGGUACCAAAUCAUGUUAAACUCCGAAUGCCCAUAAUGUUAUUGUCUGGCAGUGAGGCUAUGAGUGAUAAGAUCCAUAGCCAAGAGGGAAAGAGCCCAGAACGCCAGUUAAGGUCCCUAAUACAUGCUAAGUGAUUAAGGAGGUAGAAUUACUCUGACAACCAGGAGGUUGGCUUAGAAGCAGCCAUCCCUUGAAAGAGUGCGUAAUAGCUCACUGGUCAAGUGAUUCCGCGCCGAAAAUUUAACGGGGCUAAGCAUGUAACCGAAGCUGCGUCUUCAAGUUUACUUGAGGGGUAGGGGAGCGUUGUGUUGUAGGUUGAAGUCAGACCGUAAGGACUGGUGGACGAAGCACAAGUGAGAAUGUCGGCAUAAGUAGCGAAAACAUUGGUGAGAAUCCAAUGCACCGUAAACCUAAGGUUUCCCACGGCAGGCUCGUCCGCGUGGGGUUAGUCGGAACCUAAGCUCAGGCCGAAAGGCGUAGGCGAUGGAUGGCAGGUUGAUAUUCCUGCACCGAUUAUUUAUCGUUAUCAGAAGCGGAGGGACGCAGGAAGAUAGGCAUGCAAGCGAUCGGAAGUGCUUGUUCAAGCGUGUAGCUAGAUUGUGUAGGAAAAUCCGCAUAAUCGUUUGACGUGAGGCGUGAUGAGGUGAGUCUACGGACUCGAAGAUGUUGACUCUACACUGCCAAGAAAAUCUUCGCUCUCGAGAUAAAUAAUCGUCCGUACCGGAAACCGCCACAGGUAGGUUGGUAGAGAAUACUAAGGUGCGCGAGAUAACUCUCUCUAAGGAACUCGGCAAAAUAGCCUCGUAACUUAGGGAUAAGAGGUACCCUGGUAGCGUGUAAGCCUUCGCGGCUGAAGCGUGAUAGGGUCGCAGUGAAAUGAUCCAGGCGACUGUUUACCAAAAACACAGGUCUCUGCUAAGUCGUAAGACGAUGUAUAGGGGCUGACGCCUGCCCGGUGCCGGAAGGUUACGUGGAGAGGUUAGACUUCGGUCGAAGCUUUGAAACUAAGCCCCGGUGAACGGCGGCCGUAACUAUAACGGUCCUAAGGUAGCGAAAUUCCUUGUCAGGUAAGUUCUGACCCGCACGAAUGGCGUAACGAUCUGGAUACUGUCUCGGAGAGAGACUCGGCGAAAUUGGAUUACCCGUGAAGAUACGGGUUACGUGUACCAGGACAGAAAGACCCUAUUGAGCUUUACUGUAGCUUGAAAUUGAAUUCGGGUUAUUACUCUGCAGGAUAGGUGGGAGACACUGAAGCAAGGGCGUCAGCCUUUGUGGAGUCAACCUUGAGAUACCACUGUGUAAUAAUUUGAGUUCUAACCGCCAUCCCUCUAACAACAGGGGGCGGGACAAUUUCUGGUAGGCAGUUUGACUGGGGCGGUCGCCUCCUAAAAUGUAACGGAGGCGCUCAAAGGUUCCCUCAGGUUGGUCGGAAAUCAACCAUAGAGUGUAAUAGCAGAAGGGAGCUUGACUGCAAGACCUACAAGUCGAGCAGGUACGAAAGUAGGAUAUAGUGAUCCGGUGGUCCCGAAUGGAAGGGCCAUCGCUCAACGGAUAAAAGUUACCAUAGGGAUAACAGGCUUAUCUCCCCCAAGAGUCCACAUCGACGGGGAGGUUUGGCACCUCGAUGUCGGCUCGUCGCAUCCUGGAGCGGUAGUACGUUCCAAGGGUUGGGCUGUUCGCCCAUUAAAGCGGCACGCGAGCUGGGUUCAGAACGUCGUGAGACAGUUCGGUCCAUAUCCGGUAUACGCGCAAGAGAAUUGAGUGGAGUCAUCCUUAGUACGAGAGGACCAGGAUGAGGGAACCGCCAGUGUACGGGUUAUCCUGCCAAGGGUAAACGCCCGGUAGCUGUGUUCCAAGCGGAUAAGUGCUGAAAGCAUAUAAGUACGAAGCCCACCACAAGAUGAGUUCUCUCAUAGCAUAAGCUAGUAAGUCCCCUGAAAGACCAUCAGGUUGAUAGGCUGGAAGUAGAAGUAUGGCAACAUAUGUAGCUGACCAGUACUAAUCGGACGAGGGCUUUUCCUG